UACAUGGAUCUGUACAUCCACUCUCCUAUACACUUUCGUGGUGUAGUGUUUAAUUAGUUAAGCUCAGUUAAAUCAUUACCAUACCUUACAUUUAUACGGGAAACAUUUUACCAGUUGCUCAGAUUAUUGGAAAAGACUUGGCAUAUUUCAUUCUAGUGAAAAUGUAAACAAAGGCUUCCUUCCUUUAACAAAAAGGUGGCCUAUGCAUAUGGAGCGUUCCAGAACGAUCAGAUUACAGGAAUGCAUCAUUCUUUGGCUAAACAGGAUAAGAAUAUUACUUUGUAAUUACAAUCAUCCUUCACAGCUUUCCAAGAGCCCUCCAUAUUCAACUGCUGAUAAAAAGAUCUCCCUUAUGGAACAUGAGGGCUCAUGACUUUCACUUUCAGGAGUGAAACAGGUUGUGGACAAAAAUACCAAAGAAGAAGACAGCAAACUGAUUCUGCACACAGCAUCACUUCAAGAGGGAAUGUACCUCAAACAGUAUAGCAACAAGGUUACAGCAGACACUUUCCUCUUCUCUGCAGUGUGCAGGUUAUCGUUGAGACCCACAGCCUCCUACGUAAUGGGUACCAGGAUAUGAAGCUGACCACUCACACUUCAUCUAGAGGCAAUACUAAGAAUGUAUGGAGGUUUACAUCCAUAGAGCUUCUUGAUGUGGGUUUUGCCAUGGCAAUGCCAUGUAGAUGUGUGAAUUAACUCACAUGAACUACAUUAGUUCAGCAAAUGGUUACCUCCACAAGGAUAUAGCCACUCCUUCUUCAAGACCUACAUAUUGAUCCACUCAUCUGCCUCAUUCGCCCUGAAGAUGAAGAGCACACUGCAAACUGGAAGUACACAUAUGGAUCCUGCUUCUGGCGAUUGCAUUGCUGAUGUUCUGGAGCUACUGUCACCAGUGUGUGACACUGUUACAAGGGAAUCUUCAAGAAGUAUACAGAACAUCUUGUGCACAAUAAAGAUUUUCAAAUAACAAAGGAAGUCCUUGAUAUCUACAAGACUGAACACAGUGAAAGUCAACCCUCUCCACAAAUCAGGGUACACCAUACCUUGUGCUGGCAACCCAUUUUGUAAAUAUGUUUUGAUUUCCCACCAAUGUAUGAAUGCCAGAAAUAUGUUGUUGCAAAUAGACUCUAUUAAAUUUCUAAUGAUGUAAUAGGCUGUGACACUGAUGGUGACCCUCAUUCAGUAGCAAAUGAAGUAGAUGAGAGAUGACAACCAAACAAGUUGGCUCAAGCCAUAACACUGACUAUCCUGACUGAGAAUGUUCAGUUUUUCCAUGGACCCUUUCAGGUGAAUGCCGAGAUGGUGCCUCAAAUUAGACCACAGCCAUUUCCUUCCACAUCCCAUCCAAUUCACUGGUUACCCUAGCAUUUGACACUAUAUUGUCUCAUCUACUGAGAGAAAUUAAAUAAAUAAAUAUAAAGGCCAAUGAUGUAUUUUAUUUAUUCUGUGGUGUUACUAUAAGUCAUAGAAGGUGACAAAAUGC